AAAUGCCAACUUUCUGUAACCAUAUUUACUUUGCAACGUACGUAACUAAUUAACUAAAUGCUUACUUUCAUUGGUCAGGCGUACUGUUGUGAGCAUUCCCAACGGCCCAUCUGCCUUGGCAGUGAAGGAGGCUGCCUGGGGUCUUGCCCGCUAUGCUGCCAUUUCUCAAGUAUAGCACCCCAAACAAAUUGCUGUAUUGCUACCUGUUGUUUAUAAUCUCUACUUGCUGAUUAAGAUUUUGUUACUUGGAUCUUGUAGGACAAUGGAUUGGUCCCAAUUGUGGAGCCAGAAAUCUUGCUUGAUGGUGAGCAUGGCAUUGACAGGACUUUCGAAGUAGCCCAGAAGGUUUGGGCUGAGGUUUUCUUCUACAUGGCAGAGAACAAUGUCAUGUUUGAGGGUAUUCUUCUCAAGCCUAGUAUGGUCACUCCUGGUGCUGAAUGCAAGGACAGGGCCACCCCUGAACAAGUUGCUGAGUACACACUCAAGCUCCUUCAGAGGAGAAUCCCCCCAUCCGUCCCUGGAAUCAUGGCAAGUUGCAUUUCAACUUUCAUUCACAGUUUUACUUCUUUUUUUGCAUGAAGUGUUAAAAUUUCGGCUUAUCAAGAUUAACAUGCUUUAGGCAGGACGGCUUCUUUAGCAAUAAUAGUGAAACAUGUACUGAUCAUGGAUUAUUUUUUGAGCAGUUUUUGUCUGGUGGGCAAUCCGAGGUUGAAGCAACCCUGAACCUCAACGCAAUGAACCAGUCUGCAAACCCAUGGCACGUGUCUUUCUCAUAU
rnacentral:lncRNA from 1 species